UACAGAGACCUCAAGCGUUAUCCGGAAUCAUUGGGCGUAAAGCGUACCGAUAGGUGGUUUUACAAGUCAGAAGUGAAAUCUCAAGGCUCAACCUUGAGACUGUCUUUGAAACUGUAAAACUAGAGGAGCAAAGAGGAAGCUGGAACCAGCGGUGUAGUAGUGAAAUGCGUUGAUAUCGCUGGGAACACCAAUAGCGUAGGCAGGCUUCUGGGUGCUACCUGACACUGCUAGGACGAAAGCGUGGGGAGCGAAGUGGGA
rnacentral:rRNA from 1 species